UGCAGUCGAACGAUGAUCCCAGCUUGCUGGGGGAUUAGUGGCGAACGGGUGAGUAACACGUGAGUAACCUGCCCUUGACUCUGGGAUAAGCCUGGGAAACUGGGUCUAAUACCGGAUAUGACCGCUCUGACGCAUGUCAGGUGGUGGAAAGCUUUUGUGGUUUUGGAUGGACUCGCGGCCUAUCAGCUUGUUGGUGGGGUAAUGGCCUACCAAGGCGACGACGGGUAGCCGGCCUGAGAGGGUGACCGGCCACACUGGGACUGAGACACGGCCCAGACUCCUACGGGAGGCAGCAGUGGGGAAUAUUGCACAAUGGGCGCAAGCCUGAUGCAGCGACGCCGCGUGAGGGAUGACGGCCUUCGGGUUGUAAACCUCUUUCAGUAGGGAAGAAGCGAAAGUGACGGUACCUGCAGAAGAAGCGCCGGCUAACUACGUGCCAGCAGCCGCGGUAAUACGUA
rnacentral:rRNA from 1 species